rnacentral:siRNA from 1 species
GCGAGUGAGUAAUUUUGCAGG